AGGGAAGAGUGUAAAAACACAGUUUUCGGUUGGUAGUCCGAACGUUCCGGCAUGAAUGAUCGGGAUCAGUAACCUUCCCCCCUUGGGAUGUCCAUCACUCUUUAUGACAAA
rnacentral:ncRNA from 1 species